rnacentral:rRNA from 1 species
UGUGGUUUAAUUCGAAGCAACGCGAAGAACCUUACCAGGUCUUGACAUCCUCUGACAACUCUAGAGAUAGAGCGUUCCCCUUCGGGGGACAGAGUGACAGGUGGUGCAUGGUUGUCGUCAGCUCGUGUCGUGAGAUGUUGGGUUAAGUCCCGCAACGAGCGCAACCCUUGAUCUUAGUUGCCAGCAUUUAGUUGGGCACUCUAAGGUGACUGCCGGUGACAAACCGGAGGAAGGUGGGGAUGACGUCAAAUCAUCAUGCCCCUUAUGACCUGGGCUACACACGUGCUACAAUGGAUGGUACAAAGGGCUGCAAGACCGCGAGGUCAAGCCAAU